rnacentral:rRNA from 1 species
AGUGAACGCUGGCGGUAGGCCUAACACAUGCAAGUCGAACGGCAGCACAGGAGAGCUUGCUCUCUGGGUGGCGAGUGGCGGACGGGUGAGGAAUACAUCGGAAUCUACUCUGUCGUGGGGGAUAACGUAGGGAAACUUACGCUAAUACCGCAUACGACCUACGGGUGAAAGCAGGGGACCUUCGGGCCUUGCGCGAUUGAAUGAGCCGAUGUCGGAUUAGCUAGUUGGCGGGGUAAAGGCCCACCAAGGCGACGAUCCGUAGCUGGUCCGAGAGGAUGAUCAGCCACACUGGAACUGAGACACGGUCCAGACUCCUACGGGAGGCAGCAGUGGGGAAUAUUGGACAAUGGGCGCAAGCCUGAUCCAGCCAUACCGCGUGGGUGAAGAAGGCCUUCGGGUUGUAAAGCCCUUUUGUUGGGAAAGAAAUCCAGCUGGCUAGUACCCGGUUGGGAUGACGGUACCCAAAGAAUAAGCACCGGCUAACUUCGUGCCAGCCGCCGCCGUAA